UUUUUUUUUUUUUUUUAAAUUUUAUAUAGAUUAGACCGUUGGUUUUCCCGUUUGAAUGGUUUUACACUAGUAAUUUUGGAGCCCUCUAUAGCUUGUUAAUCGGUGUGAGCUAAGGCUCCGUGUUGAAGGCCGUACAUUGACCUAUAAUGGUUUACUUUUUUUAAAUUGUUAUUUGGAUGGAGAGUCGUCUCAUUGGCACUCACACCACAUCUUCCUAUAUAUAU
rnacentral:lncRNA from 1 species